rnacentral:sRNA from 1 species
CCUAGAUAUAGUGGAGAUACCCAACAAAUAGAGCCAACUACAUCAAACCCGGUCGUUACGCGAUCGAAACCGAAGUCCCAAUCAACCGAUGAAAUCAGACCUCGCCUGCGCUGUCAUCUCGUUCUCACCAAUCUCUUUGUUAUGCUGAUUAACACUUUUUCUUCGAACGAGCCAUGUACCGAGAGAUAUGGUGAUGAAGUCCACGACGAGCCAGGCGAGAAGGAUAUGUAUCAAAUAUGAUCUAAGAGGAAGGGGAGUCAGCAUUUGAAUUACAAGAAACAAUAAAGUAGGGGAAAGGCGAGACUUGCUGUUCGAACGAUACGGUCAGAGUUGUAAAAGGGCAAGGCGACACCAUACCGAAGGAAGAAAACCAUAAACUUGGAACCGAGCACGGUAAUUGGUGACUCGGUAGCGAGGCCAUAAUGGCCAUACCAAGAAAAGAGAGAACCACCAAAGAAAGAAAUUACCUGCAUAAAUAAAAUGCGCCCCAAACUGGACUUUGAAGGGUAAGUUGACCAUGCAGAAGAAGAAAGAGACAGGAAGGUAGAGACAGACAGGGGAGACAAGUCGAUAGAUGAUGUAAGCUCGAGUGGUGAGGAAGGGGGCGAUGACUUCGCGAACAGCGUUGUUGGUCAUAGUCAUGAUGAAGGAGAAGAUGGGCAUGAGCAUAAGCCCAACGAGGGUAAUAGCCUGAGCGACGGGAUGGUCGUAGGGCCUAAGGUUAUUCAUCGAAUACCAUACAGCGUUGGUGAUCGUCGAGGGCGCCUGAGCGACGAACCUGAAGGCGGUGACAUCGUUGGCGUUGUCUUGGAGGUAGGUAGCCGCGCCCUAAGUAGACUCAAAGCUUCUUGGACGUAAGGAACGAGAUAGGUGUUGAGACCAGUUUCCUGUCUGGCUUGCGCCUAGAAAACCUCGAUGACAGAAGAGCCACUCCAGCUAGAGUCACCAUUUCCCCUAGAAGAUAAAAGGGCAUUGAUGCCCACACUCCUUCCUCAACUACAUAAUGGGCGACUUCGGCAGCGGUGGGAAGUUCAGAGGAGUCUGUAGCAAAAAAGUUGAGGUUGAUUUGAGAUAGAAGACCUCGAGAGAAGGUCUGGCCGAUUUCAGCGUCAUCUCGAUCGAUGACUCUGACGGUCAAUUUGUCGGUAUAUUUGUUGAAUCUCCACACUACACUCUAGGCUGGAACACUUAACCACAUGACGAUGACGGUGAUUACUGUUGUAAGGUGUCUAUAGAUGCAUAAAGAAAAGAAAGAGACUAUCGUAGAAUCUAAAAGAAAGUAGUCACGCAACUCCGAUCCCACCACGCCACAAACGAUCUCUCCCAGAACUCCGUACCUCAGGCUCCCAUCUUCUCGCUCAUUCAACAAUUACAACAGUAAUGCCCGAAAUCUUGAAGGCGAUCUUCCUGGACAUAGCCAUCUCCGCGUCCCAAACUAUGUUUUUAUCAAUAAUUAGCAGGACAAACCAAGGAGAACUUGCUCACGGCUAUAUUUGAACUUCUCUAAUUUUGGCUUGCCCCCUUCAGGCUCAGCAUCCGCAGCUCCAGCGACAGGCAACUCGACGCCUGCCGCUUUAGCAUCUGGAGUGUCGUUCGCCUGGGGCACAUCGUUUACAUCCGAACCGUUCUCCUCGCAAGAGUAAUUCCUGAGAGUCUUGCCAGAUUGACUAGUUCUAGCUCGACUUCUCAUCUUCUCCUUAUUUCCAUACUCAUAAUUGUUGGGGGCAAAAGGUUCGGGGACUGAAGAACCGGGGAUACUAAGGUCCCUUCACCCGCGAUAGGUCGAGCGUUGGAGGUAGAUUGAGGACAUCAUAGACUUGCUGUUAGGGGUGUGCGCGAGAUAAUAUUGUGUUCUUUAAUGAGUGUGGCAGUACGGGAGACGGGCAUCGAUGAGGCGAGAGCUGUAGAUAUGAUGUUGUUUCUCAGUUUUGUUACUCAACCCAUUAGCUCAUAUAAUGUAUAUCAUUGGAAGUGUUG